UGAGGAAUCUUGCACAAUGGGCGAAAGCCUGAUGCAGCGACGCCGCGUGCGGGAAGAAGGCCUUCGGGUUGUAAACCGCUUUUCUGGGGGACGAGCAAGGACGGUACCUCAGGAAUAAGUCCCGGCUAACUACGUGCCAGCAGCCGCGGUAAUACGUAGGGGGCAAGCGUUAUCCGGAAUCACUGGGCGUAAAGGGCGUCUAGGCGGCAAGGCAAGUCUCGCGUAAAAGCUCCCGGCUCAACUGGGAGAGCGCGCGGGAAACUGCCUGGCUAGAGACUCGGAGAGGGGUGUGGAAUUCCCGGUGGAGUGGUGAAAUGCGUUGAGAUCGGGAGGAACACCAGUAGCGAAGGCGGCACCCUGGCCGAGUUCUGACGCUGAAGCGCGACAGCGUGGGGAGCAAACGGGAUUAGAUACCCCCGUAGUCCCUGAGCGGGCUGGCAAGGCGCAU
rnacentral:rRNA from 1 species